rnacentral:tRNA from 1 species
GUCUCGGUAGUCUAAAGGCUUAUAUUAGGACGCUUGCACGGAAUGCAAGAGAUCCGGGUUCGACUCCCGGCCGAGGCA